CGUCUGUGUUUUAUCUAAAUACAAACAGGCAUCAAAAGGAAAUCUCUUCUAUGGUUGCAACCCCAGAAAAAUGUGCUAAAGCUCAAUCUGAUGUUGAAUCAACACAAAUCUUACCCUUCAAUAUAUUGAAAGUACCCCGGGACCUUUCAAGUCAGCAGAAGAGGAAAGGCCUCCAUGCAGAAUCAACCAAAACCAGCCUGCUCAGAAGCCAGAUGUCCGCCCUCAAGAGCCCACCUAGCAGUGAGAGAAAGGACUGUCUCUCCAAAUCCAGCAGCUGGACCCUUUCUCUGAGUGACAGAGAGAUGAGCAUCCUGCUGACGCAUGAGUAUCCGGACGACAGAUCGUCAGCUAGAUGGACUGGAGAGGGAAGCCAAGUCUACGAUGACAAGUGAGAGCCUUCCUUUGAGGAGGAUAAUUUCAUUAUGCUGUUGUUCAUGACCCAUCGAGACAGAAGUUUUAAAACCCCACAAUCCCCUGUUGUUAGCUUUUCAGAGGUGUCCUCAGAGAGCUGGCUUCAGAUCCACGGCCUGGUGGCCAGGAAGCUCACCAUCAUGGACGCCUUGUCAGGGACCAUGGUGCCCCACAGCCCCACCUACGUCCCCAUCUUGGACAAGCAUGUCUCCUCCAAGGUCUUUGAUGAGGUAACCCGAUGGUCUUCAUGUCGCCGCUUGGGAUAUGUUUAGUUUUCUGUUUAAAUAAAAAUGAACCCAGUGCAGUUUCCUGCAGCUGUAACAAGCAUAUUUCAGCCAUGGGAAGAAAUCGUCCUUAAGGCAGGGACAGGGAAAGAGAGAGGCACUCAAAAGUCCUUGGUUUAAGUUGAGACAGGCGGCGGAGGGCUCGUCCCUCCUGUGGAAGUCCAGAGCUGCAGAAGUGCUUGGAAGCCUA
rnacentral:lncRNA from 1 species